CGAGCCGGCCGGGCGGCCGCGCCGGGCCAUGCCAGUCGUGGCCUGGUGAGGAAGGUCCGGGCUCCACAGGGCAGGGUGGUCGGUAACGCCGACCCGGGGUGACCCGCGGGACAGUGCCACAGAAAACAGACCGCCCAGGCCAGGCUCCGGCCGGGCCGGGGUAAGGGUGAAACGGUGGUGUAAGAGACCACCAGCGCCCGGAGUGAUCCGGGCGGCUUGGUAAACCCCACCCGGAGCAAGGUCACAAGGGCCGCGCGCCUUCCGGGGCGCGGGGCCUGCGCGAGCGGUUGAGGGCGGCCCGCCCGAUGCUCGCGGGUAGACCGCACGAGGCUGCCGGUAACGGCAGUCCUAGAUGGAUGGCCGCCGGCCCGCGUUCGCGCGGGUGCACAGAACCCGGCCUACAGGCCGGCUCGCCCC
rnacentral:RNase_P_RNA from 1 species